rnacentral:lncRNA from 1 species
AAUCAGAAUAAAUCACCCUUAUCAGCACAGCAGUGAUACAGCACUUGAAACAGAACCAGGCUUUUGGAGGCAACUUGGAGGGCUUCCAGUCAUCAGGGCCAAAGUCUCACUGGCACUGCCCUACUGGCAUGUCCCUGGUGGAACUAAGCUGCAGGUUGCUGCAUAUCAAAUGGGGAUGAUCCAGCUCAGGUGAAUUCAUGCUUUUCCAAGGUGAGUACUAAUGCUCUCUGCCACUUCUUGGGACUCUCUGUGAUGUCCUGGACACUCACCAUUAUUUAAGAUCCUACAUAACUUUUCACAUUGUUAGCACCAUUAGCUACUAUUAGGCGAUCAUACAUUUAAUUCUCUGAGCUUUACAUUAUCUCUUUGAUUUAAUGUAGAUAAACUGUUGUUUUUUUAAGCUGCUAAAUAUUAUUAGAGUCUGACUCUCCCAGCCUGUGCCAGUGAUG